UACGUAGGGUGCAAGCGUUAAUCGGAAUUACUGGGCGUAAAGCGUGCGCAGGCGGCUUUGCAAGACAGAUGUGAAAUCCCCGGGCUUAACUUGGGAACUGCAUUUGUGACUGCAUGGCUGGAGUGCGGCAGAGGGGGAUGGAAUUCCGCGUGUAGCAGUGAAAUGCGUAGAUAUGCGGAGGAACACCGAUGGCGAAGGCAAUCCCCUGGGCCUGCACUGACGCUCAUGCACGAAAGCGUGGGGAGCAAACAGG
rnacentral:rRNA from 1 species